CGGCAACAGCUCAAAUUUGAAAUCUGGCCCUCUUUGGGGGUCCGAGUUGUAAUUUGCAGAGGGUGCUUUGGCAUCGGCGGCGGUCUAAGUUCCUUGGAACAGGACAUCGCAGAGGGUGAGAAUCCCGUA
rnacentral:rRNA from 1 species